rnacentral:rRNA from 1 species
UACGUAGGGUGCGAGCGUUGUCCGGAAUUAUUGGGCGUAAAGAGCUCGUAGGCGGUGUGUCACGUCGGCCGUGAAAACCUGCAGCUUAACUGUGGGCGUGCGGUCGAUACGGGCAUCACUGGAGUUCGGCAGGGGAGACUGGAAUUCCUGGUGUAGCGGUGAAAUGCGCAGAUAUCAGGAAGAACACCAAUGGCGAAAGCAGCUUUCUGGGACGGUACUGACGCUGAGACGCGAAAGCGUGGGGAGCGAACAGG